GUCUGUCUCUACGACAUCUGAAUGGAGAUGAGACGGAAAGAAAGAGAGGAAAGAAUGAAGAGGGAUUGUUCUCUUUUAGAUCUUAUUGUAGCCCACCAGCCUCAAUCUCUGCAGUCCCUGAGGAGACAGCGGAAAUAUAUCAGCGUGGUGUUUCUCCGGUAGCUGUUGAUGUUUACUCUACACCUGAAGCACGACUCUUCCUGUACUGCCAGCUAAACACAAAUGGAAUAGCAUUGAUGAGUGUUGUAACUGCUGUGUUUCAAAUGAAAGCCUUUGGUCCCUAUUCACUUUCAUUGUGGAUAAAAACAUUCUGCGUAACAUCUUUGGUGGUCUGCAGAUGAAAGAAAAUAGCUGUCAUCUUUGGCUAAGUGCCACACACAAGACUGGAAAAGUCCAUCUGAGAGCUCCACCGCCGCACCUCUCAAGAGCUGACCCUUGACCCCCUCGACCGUCAGGGAAGUGUCCGGGUCGGCCUCCGCCGGGUAAGUGGCCCUUUAUGUACCGGUGAUAUCACCUGACCUGUGACUCUCCUCCUUGGUCUCAACAGGAGAAGCAGAGUGUCCUGCUCUACUCUGAAAUCCCCCUUUCCCUCCUUCCUCUCAGUCUCAUUUACAUCAGCUCGUUUUUUAUAGCUUCACGGUUAUAUAUUGGGCUUUGUCUGGCUGCGCGUGUACCUGCGCUGGUCCCAGCUGCUGCUCAUUAAUAACCUGGCCUGACACAGACGCAGAGAGAGAAAUGGCCGAGCUAGUUACCAUCCCAGUAAAACAUUCAGAGGUUGUAAGCACAGCAAACCCUAGAAAGUCGACGUGGAAACGAAUGUGCUUUUACUUGUUGUAUACAUUAAGCCGGAAGUUAUUAGUGCGUUUGACCGAUAUAUUAAACAUUCCUCAAUAAAGAUUUUUGAAGAGCUCGCUACGUGAAUGUUGGAACUUAGGUUGGAGGCCAAUAAGUUGCACAUUUUUGGCCUGUCAUGCAGACAUUAUAGGUGAUGCUGGGAAUAAAAGUGUCCCAGCGAGCGGAGAACACUGAUUCUAACACAGGCGGAAUAGCAGAGGGCCCGAAAUCUGUUACCCUGAUCUCUUCUUUGAAAGCCAGAGGGGAAUUAAAAGCAUGGAAAAAGGAUUUCUUUAGCACGCCUCAUCAAAAGGGAAUUAGCACGCUCGGGGAGGGGUGACAGGAGUAGGCGACACAAUGAAAGGAUAAAGGGGGAAACAGCAGGAUGAGCUGGUGUUCAACGUCUCAAGAUUAGGCCAGAUUAAAGAUUGAACACUGAGUCUGUACACCUCUGACCAUGUAGUUUCUUUUAACUUUGUUUCAGUUGGAGGCAGCGUUGGUUUGGCAGUUUUUGCGUAUCGACUUUUUUGUUUAUUUGUAGGAUAGGGUAUACAGUUUUUGCCAAUAGCAGGUCAAUUAAAGGAUUAGUCCGUUUUCUUAAAAA